rnacentral:rRNA from 1 species
UACGUAGGGGGCAAGCGUUGUCCGGAAUCAUUGGGCGUAAAGAGCGUGUAGGCGGCCCGAUAAGUCCGCUGUGAAAGUCCAGGGCUCAACCCUGGAAUGCCGGUGGAAACUGUCGGGCUAGAGUCCGGAAGAGGCGAGUGGAAUUCCUGGUGUAGCGGUGAAAUGCGCAGAUAUCAGGAGGAACACCAAUGGCGAAGGCAGCUCGCUGGGACGGUACUGACGCUGAGACGCGAAAGCCAGGGGAGCAAACGGG